CCAUUUUUUCCCAUAAGGCCUGUGGGUUUUAUUGGUUUUUUUCACAGUGUGGUGACUUUCAGGAAUGCAUAUGUGGAAUCAUAGCAGGACUGACUGUUCACAUAAUACCUCUGAGAGGUGACCUAAGCAACCUGUACCUCAGAGAGGUGAUUGGCGGUCAACAGUGUGAAGUUUAAAACUUAACUUUUCCCGGUAUUUUCUCCCCUAAUGUGUUCUCAAAGAGAGAUAGCUUUAAGAAAUAAAGUAACACGAAGCAACCCUUGUGACAAACGAACCCAGAUUUUUGAAACGUUCUGUUUUCAUGGAAGCGUAACUCUGAGAAACUUCUGGAAUAAAGCUAGACACGGAGCAGGAAGAGGACAUCAUUCACAGUUAACAGCUGGAAGGCACGCCGUUCUCAGUCAAGGGUCCUUCCAGAGAGGAAAAAAAAAAAAAAAGUCUUGGGAAAAUGCCCAAGAUUGCCGAAUAUACCACUACCCUGGAAGGAAAUACGAUUUACAACAUCACCUUUCGGAGGUAAACUUUUUCAUUUCUUUAAAUGCUGAUAACGUCUGCACUCUCUUCUUUCCUCCUACUUUACAUGUUGCCGAGGGAAGAUCUUUGUAGUUAACGAGGAGUUCUUUGUUCGCCAGCAAAGUGGGAUUUUCACACUUGUGCUUUGCGGUGGCGAGCCUCAGCCCUGCAGGUUAUUUUUGUAAUAAUUAAUAAAAUAUCACACU
rnacentral:lncRNA from 1 species